rnacentral:sRNA from 1 species
UGCAUAUCAAUAAGCGGAGGAAAAGAAACCAACAGGGAUUGCCCUAGUAACGGCGAGUGAAGCGGCAACAGCUCAAAUUUGAAAUCUGGCUUCGGCCCGAGUUGUAAUUUGCAGAGGAUGUUUCUGGCGCGGUGCCUUCCGAGUUCCCUGGAACGGGACGCCACAGAGGGUGAGAGCCCCGUAUGGUCGGACACCAAGCCUGUGUGAAACUCCUUCAACGAGUCGAGUAGUUUGGGAAUGCUGCUCUAAAUGGGAGGUAAAUCUCUUCUAAAGCUAAAUACCGGCCAGAGACCGAUAGCGCACAAGUAGAGUGAUCGAAAGAUGAAAAGCACCUUGAAAAGGGGGUUAAAUAGUACGUGAAAUUGUUGAAAGGGAAGCACUUAUGACCAGACUUGGGCCGGGCGGCUCAUCAGGGGUUCUCCCCUGUGCACUCCGCCCGGCACAGGCCAGCAUCGGUUUUCGCGGGGGGAUAAGACCGACGGGAACGUAGCACCCUCCGGGGUGUGUUAUAGCCCGGCGGACGAUACCCUCGCGGGGACCGAGGUCCGCGCUCCGCAAGGAUGCUGGCGUAAUGGUCAUCAGUGACCCGUCUUGAAACACGGA